AGCAGCCGCGGUAAUCCCAGCUCCAAUAGCGUAUAUUAAAGUUGCUGCAGUUAAAAAGCUCGUAGUUGAAUUUCGGGACCAUCAUGUCGGUCGUGCCUCGGUACGUACUGGCAUUGUUGGUUUCUCCCUUCUGACGAACCAUGAUGUCAUUAAUUUGGUGUCAUGGGGAAUCAGGACUGUUACUUUGAAAAAUUAGAGUGUUUAAAGCAGGCUCACGCUUGAAUACAUUAGCAUGGAAUAAUGAAAUAGGACGUUUGAUUCUAUUUUGUUGGUUUCUAGGAUCGACGUAAUGAUUAAUAGGGAUAGUUGGGGGCAUUAGUAUUCAAUUGUCAGAGGUGAAAUUCUUGGAUUUAUUGAAGACUAACUACUGCGAAAGCAAUUUGCCAAGGUGUUUUC
rnacentral:rRNA from 1 species